CACGGGGGGAGCAAGCGUUGUUCGGAAUCACUGGGCGUAAAGGGCGUGUAGGCGGUCAAGUAAGUGGAAUGUGAAAGCCCCCGGCUUACCCGGGGAUCUGCAUCCCAAACUGCUUGGCUUGAGUACGGGAGAGGAUAGGGGAAUUCCUGGUGUAGCGGUGAAAUGCGUAGAUAUCAGGAGGAACACCGGUGGCGAAGGCGCCUAUCUGGCCCGAUACUGACGCUGACGCGCGAAAGCUAGGGGAGCAAACGGG
rnacentral:rRNA from 1 species